AGAGUUUGAUCCUGGCUCAAAACGUACGCUGGCGGCACGCCUAACACAUGCAAGUCGAACGCAGUAGCGAUACUGAGUGGCAGACGGGUGAGUAACAUCUGGGAAUCUGCCUUGUGGUUCAGGACAACAUUGGGAGACCGAUGCUAAUACUGGAUAAGCCCUUACGGGGAAAGUUUUAAUGCCAUAAGAUGAGCCCGCAUCUGAUUAGUUAGUUGGUGAGGUAAUGGCUCACCAAGACAAUGAUCAAUAGCUGAUCUGAGAGGAUGAUCAGCCACACUGGGACUGAGACACGGCCCAGACUCCUACGGGAGGCAGCAGUGGGGAAUCUUGCACAAUGGAGGAAACUCUGAUGCAGCGAUGCCGCGUGAGUGAAGAAGGCCUUUGGGUUGUAAAGCUCUUUUGUAGGGGAAGAUAAUGACUGUACCCUAAGAAUAAGGUCCGGCUAACUUCGUGCCAGCAGCCGCGGUAAUACGAAGGGACCUAGUGUAGUUCGGAAUUACUGGGCGUAAAGCGCGCGUAGGCCGUUGGGUUAGUUAAUUGUGAAAUCCCAAAGCUUAACUUUGGAACUGCAAUUAAAACUGCUCGACUAGAGUUUGGUAGAGGAAAGCGGAAUACAUAGUGUAGAGGUGAAAUUCGUANAUAUUAUGUAGAACACCAGUUGCGAAGGCGGCUUUCUGGAUCA
rnacentral:rRNA from 1 species